CACGUAGGGGGCGAGCGUUGUCCGGAAUCAUUGGGCGUAAAGAGCUCGUAGGCGGCUCAGUAAGUCGGGUGUGAAACCCCCCAGGCUCAACCUGGGGACGCCACUCGAUACUGCUGUGGCUAGAGUCCAGUAGAGGAGUGUGGAAUUCCCGGUGUAGCGGUGAAAAUGCGCAGAUAUCGGGAGGAACACCAACGGCGAAGGCAGCUUCCUGGGUCCAAUCUGACGCUGAGGCGCGAAAGCGUGGG
rnacentral:rRNA from 1 species